rnacentral:rRNA from 1 species
AAGCGGUGGAGCAUGUGGCUUAAUUCGAGGCUACGCGCAAAACCUUAUCCCAGGCUUGACAUGCACGGAUUAGCCGGCGGAAACGUCGGUAAGGCCGCAAGGUACAACGUGCACAGGUGCUGCAUGGCUGUCGUCAGCUCGUGCCGUGAGGUGUUGGGUUAAGUCCCGUAACGAGCGAAACCCCUGUCCCUAGUUGCCAGCACGUCAUGGUGGGCACUCUAGGGAGACCGCCGGCGUCAAGCCGGAGGAAGGCGGGGAUG